ensembl:lncRNA
GCCUUCCUGUUCCCAGCAGCGCCCGGCUCCGGGCGUUUCUUCGCUCUCCCACGGUCCGCGCCCGCCCUGCCCCAGCCGAGGGCACCCGCGCGGCCAGGGCCGCAGCUGGGAGCCCCGCGCCUCUCGGACGGCCGCGCGACUCGGUGACCACCUCGGAGGCCUCAGUGUGAGUCUCCGGAAAAUGCGGGUAGUCCCGCCGCCCUCCGUGUACUUGGGACCCUCGUGCAGUCCGGCCUUGGCCGUGAUUAGGGACCUCGGCCCCCGACAGCCCCGCCUUGCCUUCCCGUCUCCAGAGUCACUGCAGUCUCUGUCUCUGGGCUCCGAGUGGGAACCUCUGAGAAAGGCGGAAUCCGGGAGGUGGGGUCACAGAUCGCAGGCCCUUCUAGGAUGAGAAGCCCCCAGUGGGAAUCCAGGGCUGCAAAAAGGGAGGCGAGGAGGGGAUCUGAAAGGAUUGGACCAGCAGGGCUGUGGCCUGGAAGAGGUCGUGGCGGGCGGGUGGGGCUGGCCUGGCUUGGGCUCUUUCUUCCUCCCUUCCUCCCCAGUUUACGAGGCCUCACCUUCGGGAAACUCCCAUUAAGGGGACGUCGAAGGGCUGAGUCUUCCAACACUUUGGCCUUUUGUUCUACCUGUCAAAAGGAAAAAAAGACCCCGAAGUUAAGAAAUGGACCAACUGUGGAUUCUGCCUAUUGCCUUGUAGCUCGAGAAAAGUCACUGGAAGCACCAGUUUAAAAUCAAGCCUUGCGCCCUGGUGUGUGGCCUAUAACCUCCAUCUGACAUAUAACCUGCUUCCAUGUUAAGUGGAUCAAUCACACGCUUUUCUGGGAAAGCAGUCUCGAUAUUCCACCUAACAUCCUCAGGUCUCUGGAGAGUCAGCCACCUGGUGUCCUGAUAAACUUCCUAAAGAAAUCUUUCUAGGAGCAGUGUGAGGAGGACAGACGAGCCCUCUGGACUGGCAAGGCCACCGGCCAAGUACUGCUGCCACCAUGCCCAAGAGAAAGGCAAAAGGAGAUGCUAAAGGUGACAAAGCAAAGGUGAAGGAUGAGCCACAGAGGAGAUCAGCACGGUUGUCCGCUAAACCUGCCCCCCCAAAACCAGAGCCCAGGCCUAAAAAGGCCCCUGCAAAGAAGGGAGAGAAGCUACCCAAAGGGAGAAAGGGGAAAGCAGAUAGUGGCAAGGAUGGGAACAACCCUGCGAAAAACCGAGAUGCCACCACAGUCCAGUCACAGAAAGCGGAAGGCAGCGGGGAUGCCAAGUGAAGUGUGCUAUUUUGAUAGCUCUGUACUUGUAGUGACUCUGCUGUUUGAAAUACUGUUUUUUUUUAAAUCAACUUUUAUAAAAAUGUAGAAUUUUGUUUUUCUUUUUAAGUUAUAUUGUUAGCACACAGGACACUUUGUUGUCUUUUGUGGAAAGGGCAAAUACCACUAACAGAGUGUUUCAGAAGCUGGAUUAAAAUGGAGGAAAAUAGUAUUUUCUGUCCUCAUUUUUGAAGAUUAUUCUUGGUCCCUGGGAGAGAUUCUCUGACAUUCACACACGAGUCAGUCACUUUGGCUCAGACGCCUUACAGUGUGUGGAAGCAAAACUUCAUGUCUUUGCCUUUCCUGAUACCAUCAGCAUAUAUUUGACUUUCUGAACCCAAGAGUUAUGGUUUCAGAAAACCAGCAUCCCUAAAAUCAGCUGUGUUGGGUAAUAAUCCUCAGGCCUUCUGAUGAAGACAUCGACAUGGUGUUGCUCAAAAGAGCCAAGAUUCCUGUUUGCAAUUUGUGGAUCAUCCCAUUGAUAAUCCUGGAGUUUGUAGUUUUCUCCAAGUCAGAAAUGACCUGUGAAAAGCUCUUACAUGCCUCAUGUGAAAUAUCCACCCCUUCUGACAACUUUGCCUGUUCAAAGCAGGAACAGAAGACUUUGUUGACUUUUUGGGGAGGGGUGUUUGGAAGUUGUAAAAUGUUAUGGAUUGUCACCUAUGUCCUGCUGGAAAUAACUGUUUUUGAAAAGUAUCUUAUGGAGCUGUAUACAAGUUGGCUUGGUGGUAGGGGGGUAUCAUUUCCUACCCAAAGUCAUAAAGAUAUUCUUUACUGCCUUGUAAAAGUUUUACAGUUUUGCUUUUCAUACGUCUUUAGUCUUUAGAACUGGUUUUUGUGAAAAGUAUGAGAUAGAAGUUCAAUAUAAUAUAUUUUCCAUAUAGAUAAGUGGUUGUUGCAGCACCAUUUUCUGAAAAGUUCAUCCUUUCCUCACUGACCUGUAACACUGUCUCUUUCAUAAAUCAAGUUUGUGUGUUUGUGUGGGUCUCUUGAUGGUUUCUGUUCUGACUCACUGGUCAAUUUGUCUAACCUGUGGCAGUACUAUACAAUCGUGAGUAUGACAACUUUAGAAAAAGGUCUUGAUAUCUCAGGACAAAUCCCACCUCCACCUCCAACAUCAUCACCAAAUUUUUCUUCCUUGAGAGUAUCUUGGCUAUUUUUAGCCAUUUGCUUUUCCAUACAAUUUCUAGAAUUAGAUUGAGAAGUUCUAAAUCAAACAAAAAAAAAUGUUGGAAUUUUUAUUAGAUUUAUGGAUUAAUUACAGUGUUGAAUCUUCCAAUCCAUGAACAUGGUAUAGCAUUUAUUUAGGCUUUUUAAAUGUCUUUCAAUAAAGUUUUAUAAUUUUCUCCAUAAAUGUCUUCUUUUGUUAAUAUUUCCUGGGGACUUUAUACCUUUUGAUGCUCUUUUAUGUGGUAUAUUUUAGUUACUACAUUUUCUGGUUUUAGCUAAAGUUGAUUUUUGUAUCCAGCAACCUUGCUAAAUUCUCAAUUCUUAUAUGUCUGUAUACUUCUUUGGGUUUUCUGCCUAGAUAACCAUAUAUUCUGUGUAUGCAAACAAUUUUUUUUCCUCACAGUCCUUAUGUGUCCUUUUCCUUUUUCUAAAGUGAGGCAUUGUCCAAGUGCUGAGGGUACAGCAGUGAACAAAACAGUCUCUGUUUUCACAAAGCUUAUCUUCUAGUUGGGGGAGGGUAGAAAACACACAAGUUUAUGUGACAAGGGGCCUUAAGUAAACAAGUGUAAGUGAGUGCUAUUUAAAUAGGGUAGUUAAGAAAGUCCUCUCUGAUGAGAUUUGAGCAGAACACUUAAUGAAGUAAAAGAAAAAGAGAUGUGAAUAUGAGAGGAAAGCAUUCCAGCAAAGGGAAUAGCAAAUGCAAAGAGAUGAGGUGAAAAUGUGUUUGGCACUCAGAGGAAGAAUGAGCAGAUGUGGCUGAAUUGGAGUGAUGGUAAGUAAGAGUGAUAGCUGAUAGCUCCAGGCUGUAAUUUUUCUCUGAAAGUGAUGGGAUACCAUUAGAGUUUUGAACAGAGAAAUGAUGCAAUCUAAGUUAGUGUAUGUGUUUGGCUGAUGAAAUGAGCAACACGCUGAAAGUGGAGAAGAAUUGAAGGAGGAAGAC